GGGGCUUAGCUCAGUUGGUAGAGCACCAGCUUUGCAAGCUGGGGGUCAUCGGUUCGAUCCCGUUAGCCUC
rnacentral:tRNA from 1 species